AUGUGCACGCUCUGUUUACACAUCCACUCACACCUGUGCACCCACUGUAGUUUUACGGUCUGGGGGACCCUGUCUUCCUUCCGUAGUUCUACGUCUUUACACACACACUGUAAUAAAGUCUUAUGGAAUGUAUGCCGCGUCUAACGCAACACAAUACAACUUUCAGCAACGGAUCUCUUGGCUCUCGCAUCGAUGAAGAACGCAGCGAAAUGCGAUAAGUAAUGUGAAUUGCAGAAUUCAGUGAAUCAUCGAAUCUUUGAACGCACCUUGCGCCCCUUGGAUAUUCCGAGGGGCAUGCCUGUUUGAGUAUCAUGAACACCUCAACUCUCAUGGUUUGCCAUGACGAGCUUGGACCUUGGGGGUUUUGCUGGCCUGUGGUCGGCUCCUCUCAAAUGAAUCAGCCUCCCAGUGUUUGGUGGCAUCACGAGUGUGAUAACUAUCUACGCUCGCGGUUGCCCACCAGGUAGCCUUUGGUGACAAAGGUUCGCUGGAGCUCACAGAUGUCUCUCCUUAGCGAGGACAGCUUUUUAACGUUCGAUCUCAAAUCAGGUAGGACUACCCCGCUGAACUUAAGCAUAUCAAUAA
rnacentral:rRNA from 1 species